GGGCUGGUAGUUCAGUGGUAGAACACCGGGUUGGCGAACGCUUGGUGUCAUUCUAGGCGCCCAUUUUCGUUUCUUUCUUCCCGGAGACCUGGCGUUCGAUUCCCAGCUGGCCGA